GAAAGAGGGAGAGGGAGAGAGCACACCUGGUGCCACAUGUAUAGAAAUUCGCCUACCUCUAAAGCAACAGAGACUUGUCCAGAUUUGAUAAACUUAGUUCUGCCUCAAGAAAACAUUAGAUUUCAGCCAUGAGUUAGCCCAUCUAUAGCAGGGCUGAGACCUCAUCUUAAACCCCGAGGGUGUGGGGAACUCCAAUCCCUUUGAUCUUAGGAGAGGUUCUAUUUUUUCUAGAGGGGCCCGCCAUAAAGCUUGAAUUAGAACCGGGACCUGAAUGUCAUGAGCAAUUUCGUUCCAAGUGUCUCCUGAGCACGCCUGGGAAACUUCAGAGAGCCAGAGAGGGGCCUCUGUGUGUGGUCGUGCUGGAGGAGACACAAUAAUGGAGCUGACCAUAGGUAAAAGAUUUCAGACAAACACGCCCUCAUAGUCCUACAGAACAGGGUGAACUUUGUCCAUCCUCCACUACGUUGGUCUGAAUGAGGCGGUCCCCAUACUCUCGAGCAUCUGAGUAUUUGGUCACCAGUUGGUGACUGCUGCUUGGUUUGUGGUUCGUGUGGUGAGCCCUCAGUUACUGUUCCAGUCAUUUUGCCUGCUGCCAUGCUUCCCGCCAUAACGGUGAUGGGUUUAUCCUCUGGGGAGAAAUCUCAUGCAUUCCGUUGUCUUCAACAACACCCUCCAACACCCUCCUCUUACACGCUUUCUCGCGACCGGCCAGGAAAGACGCAACAAACCGGAAUCUUCUGCGGCAAAAGCUUUAUUGCUUACAUCUUCAGGAGCAAGAGUGCAAGAGAGCAAGAGCUCUAUUGCUUACAUCUUUAGGAGCCAGAGCAAGAGCGCAAGAGAGCAAGAGCCAGAGCAAGAGAGAGAAAGAAAGCAAGAAAAAGAACAAGAACAAGAAAGCAAGAGCAAGAGAGAGAGAAAGCAAGAACAAGAGAGAGAAAAAGAAUGGCAAAACCCCGUCCCUUUUAAGGAGAAUUAUCCUCCGCCUAGGACGUAUUACUCCCUGAUUGGCUGCAGCCCAUCGGCCCAGUAGUCAUCAUGAGAAGGCAGAACACAUGGCGGGAAAACUGCCCCUGCACAUGUGCAGAUUAUGUUUACCACUUAGAACACAGCUGUCAGCGCCAUCUUAUAAUGGCAAAUGUGAGGGUGGCUCCCCACACCCUCCCUUAAAGUGUCUUGUCUUUCCCAUCUUGUGGACCUUUUUCUAGUUCCUUGGCCUCUACCCACAUUUACUCUCCAACAGGCAUACAUACUUAACAACUAGCAGCUAGGAGCCACAUACAAGAGAACAACUGGUCCACUGCAUCUGCCUUUCUGAGCCUUCACCCCCUUUAGCAUAAUGUUUUCUAGUUCCAACCAUUUUCUUGUAAUUUCCUUCUGUAAAAGAUCUUCAUUUAUUUGAACCGCAUGUAUAUGAGUGUUCUGCCUCCAGGUAUGUAAGUGUACAUGCAUAAAUUCACCUGGCGCUGCAGAGGCCAAAAGAACGAAUCGGAUGCCCUGGAACUGGAGUUACAGAGAGUUGUGAGCUGCCGCAUGGGGGCUGGGAACCAAACCCAUUUUGGUGGAACCAAACCAAGCCCACUUGCUAUUCCUCUGCAAGAACAGCGAGUGCUUUUAGCUAUUGAGCUAAGUCUCCAGCUCCCACACGUCAUAUCGAGUUGCUAUGUGAGUAAAAUCCUAUUGUGUGUAUGUACUAUAUUCCCAUUAUCCAUUCUUCCAUUGAUGGACAUGUAAGCUGAUUCCAUCUGCUUUGUACUGUGAAAAGAGCAUUCGUGUACAUGGAUGUACACGGAUCACUGUGGUAGGAUGCACAGAUCCUUGGUUGUACACGGAUGUACAUGGAUCACUGUGGUGGGAUACACAGACCUUUGGAGGCUGGGCAUGGUAGAGACUCACACCUUUAAUCCCAGAACUCAGGAAGCAUAGGCACACAGAUCUCUGAGUUUGAGUGCCAGGACGGUUAGGGCUGCGCAGAGGGAAAAUGUCUAAAACCAAAAUAGUAACAACAGCAACCCCGGGUUGGUUGCAUGUGCAGGAAUGGUAGAGCUGAGUCAGGUGGUACUUCUAGUCUUAGGUUGCUGAAGUUCCACACUAAUAACCAUAAUGGCUGCACCAGGGACCUUUUCUUUCCCAAAUCAUCACGGAUAUGCAUUGUCUUGAAGUUGGCCACUCUCUGACUUCGGUGAGGUGGAAUCUCAAAGACGUGUUGCUUUGCUUUUUUUUUUUUUUUUCCUGGUGGCUUGGAAACAGUUUUUAUGCAUUAACAGCUUUCUAUUGGAGAAGUUUGUUUUUGUUUUUAUUUGUUUUGUUUUUUCUGUGUCUUCACCUGAUUUAGCAAGUGGAAUUUGUGUUUUUCACGAGGUUUAUAAAUAAAAUGUUAUGUAGCCCAUGGUACCUU